AUUCCAGCUCCAAGAGCGUAUAUUAAAGUUGUUGCAGUUAAAAAGCUCGUAGUUGGAUUUCUGGUACAAUGCGCCUGGCCCGCGGCAGCAAUGCCUGUGAGUGCCGGUGCGCGUUGGCCAUCCUUCUAGAAAACGUUUCUACCAUUAACUUGGCUGGACUCGCGAUCUAGAUCUUUUACUUUGAAAAAAUUAGAGUGUUCAAGGCAGGCUUUUGCUGUGAAUACAUUAGCAUGGAAUAAUAAUCUAGGACUUCGGUUCUAUUUUGUUGGUUUCUAGAAUUGAAGUAAUGAUUGAUAGGGAUAGUUGGGGGUGCUAGUAUUGGCCGGCCAGAGGUGAAAUUCUUGGAUUCGGUCAAGACUAACUUAUGCGAAAGCAUUCACCAAGGAUGUCUUCAUCG
rnacentral:rRNA from 1 species